UACGAAGGUGGCAAGCGUUGUUCGGAAUUACUGGGCGUAAAGCGCGCGUAGGCGGCUUUGUAAGUUAGAGGUGAAAGCCCGGAGCUCAACUCCGGAAUUGCCUUUAAGACUGCAUCGCUAGAAUCAUGGAGAGGUGAGUGGAAUUCCGAGUGUAGAGGUGAAAUUCGUAGAUAUUCGGAAGAACACCAGUGGCGAAGGCGACUCACUGGACAUGUAUUGACGCUGAGGUGCGAAAGCGUGGGGAGCAAACAGG
rnacentral:rRNA from 1 species